UAGUCAUAUGCUUGUCUCAAAGAUUAAGCCAUGCAUGUCUAAGUAUAAACAACUUUAUACUGUGAAACUGCGAACGGCUCAUUAUAUCAGCAAUAAUUUAUUUGAUGGUUCCUUACUACAUGGAUAACUGUGGUAAUUCUAGAGCUAAUACAUGCGUAAAGUCCCGACUCUCGCGGGGAGGGAUGUAUUUAUUAGAUAAAAAACCAAUGCGGGUUCUGCCCGGUUUUGUGGUGAAUCAUAGUAACUUUUCGAAUCGCAUGGCUUCACGCCGGCGAUAGUUCAUUCAAAUUUCUGCCCUAUCAGCUUUCGACGGUAGAUUAGUGGCCUACCGUGGCAUUAACGGGUAACGGAGAGUUAGGGCUCGAUUCCGGAGAGGGAGCCUGAGAAACGGCUACCACAUCCAAGGAAGGCAGCAGGCGCGCAAAUUACCCAAUCCGGACACCGGGAGGUAGUGACAAAAAAUAACAAUACCUGGCCUUUUCAGGUCGGCUAAUUGGAA
rnacentral:rRNA from 1 species